GCCUGGGAAACCGGGUCUAAUACCGGAUGCGACCCCUGACCGCAUGGUGGGGGGUGGAAAGAUUUAUCGGUCUUGGAUGGACUCGCGGCCUAUCAGCUGGUUGGUGGGGUAAUGGCCUACCAAGGCGACGACGGGUAGCCGGCCUGAGAGGGUGACCGGCCACACUGGGACUGAGACACGGCCCAGACUCCUACGGGAGGCAGCAGUGGGGAAUAUUGCACAAUGGGCGCAAGCCUGAUGCAGCGACGCCGCGUGAGGGAUGACGGCCUUCGGGUUGUAAACCUCUUUCAGUAGGGAAGAAGCGCAAGUGACGGUACCUGCAGAAGAAGCGCCGGCUAACUACGUGCCAGCAGCCGCGGUAAUACGUAGGGCGCGAGCGUUAUCCGGAAUUAUUGGGCGUAAAGAGCUCGUAGGCGGUUUGUCGCGUCUGCCGUGAAAGUCCGGGGCUUAACCCCGGAUCUGCGGUGGGUACGGGCAGACUGGAGUGCAGUAGGGGAGACUGGAAUUCCUGGUGUAGCGGUGAAAUGCGCAGAUAUCAGGAGGAACACCGAUGGCGAAGGCAGGUCUCUGGGCUGUUACUGACGCUGAGGAGCGAAAGCAUGGGGAGCGAACAGGAUUAGAUACCCUGGUAGUCCAUGCCGUAAACGUUGGGCACUAGGUGUGGGGGCCAUUCCACGGUUUCCGCGCCGCAGCUAACGCAUUAAGUGCCCCGCCUGGGGAGUACGGCCGCAAGGCUAAAACUCAAAGGAAUUGACGGGGGCCCGCACAAGCGGCGGAGCAUGCGGAUUAAUUCGAUGCAACGCGAAGAACCUUACCAAGGCUUGACAUGUUCCCGAUCGCCGCAGAGAUGUGGUUUCCCCUUUGGGGCGGGUUCACAGGUGGUGCAUGGUUGUCGUCAGCUCGUGUCGUGAGAUGUUGGGUUAAGUCCCGCAACGAGCGCAACCCUCGUUCCAUGUUGCCAGCGGGUUAUGCCGGGGACUCAUGGGAGACUGCCGGGGUCAACUCGGAGGAAGGUGGGGACGACGUCAAAUCAUCAUGCCCCUUAUGUCUUGGGCUUCACGCAUGCUACAAUGGCCGGUACAAUGGGUUGCGAUACUGUGAGGUGGAGCUAAUCCCAAAAAGCCGGUCUCAGUUCGGAUUGGGGUCUGCAACUCG
rnacentral:rRNA from 1 species